UACGUAGGGUGCGAGCGUUGUUCGGAUUCACUGGGCGUAAAGGGUGCGUAGGCGGUCGGGUAAGUCUGAUGUGAAAUCUCACAGCUUAACUGUGAAACUGCAUUGGAUACUAUCCGGCUAGAGGAAUGGAGGGGAGACUGGAAUACUUGGUGUAGCAGUGAAAUGCGUAGAUAUCAAGUGGAACACCAGUGGCGAAGGCGAGUCUCUGGACAUUUCCUGACGCUGAGGCACGAAAGCCAGGGGAGCAAACGGG
rnacentral:rRNA from 1 species